rnacentral:misc_RNA from 1 species
CGUAGGAGCUGCCGCAGGCUGCGAUCUUUUGAUCUUGUUUUUUAAAAAGAGCGAAAAGAUCGCAGCCUGCGGCAGCUCCUACA